rnacentral:rRNA from 1 species
UACGUAGGUGGCAAGCGUUAUCCGGAAUUAUUGGGCGUAAAGCGCGCGCAGGCGGCUUCUUAAGUCUGAUGUGAAAUCUCACAGCUUAACUGUGAAACUGCAUUGGAUACUAUUCGGCUUGAGAGUUGGAGGGGGGACUGGAAUUCUUGGUGUAGCAGUGAAAUGCGUAGAUAUCAAGAGGAACACCGGUGGCGAAGGCGGGUCUCUGGGCCGAUACUGACGCUGUAGAGCGAAAGCGUGGGGAGCGAACAGG